AUGCCCUCCACUCAGUGCCCACCAUGGCCACCAUUUGGCAGCUUGUAGGAAGAUGGCACCUGGUAGAUAGCAAAGGCUUUGACGAGUACAUGAAGGAACUGCGAGUGGGAAUGGCUUUGUGGAAAAUGGGUGCAAUGGCCAAGCCAGAUUGUAUCAUCACUUCUGAUGGCAAAGCCCUCACCGAAAACCGAAAGCACCUUGAAAACAACACAAUUCUACUGUAACCUGGGAGAAAAGUUUGAAGAAACUACAGCCGAUGGCAGAAAACCUCAGAGUGUCUGCAACUUUACCGAUGGUGCCUUGGUUCAGCUCCAGGAAUGGGAUGGGAAGGAGAGCACAAUCACCAGAAAGUUGGAAGAUGGGAAAUUAGUGGUGGAAUGUGUUAUGAACAAUGUCACCUGCACUCGGAUCUAUGAAAAAGUAGAAUAAAAAUUCCAUCUUUGCUUUGGAAAGGAAUUAGUUAUGAGAAUGAACAAGCUCAGUCCAAUGAGCAGAUCUCUAUACUG